UGGUGGAGCGAUUUGUCUGGUUAAUUCCGAUAACGAACGGGACUCUGGCCUAUUAAAUAGUUCGCCGAUUCCGAUCUGUCGGCGUUAACUUCUUAGAGGGACAAGUGGCUUUUAGCCACGCGAGAUUGAGCAAUAACA
rnacentral:rRNA from 1 species